GUGGGGAAUAUUGGGCAAUGGGGGCAACCCUGACCCAGCGACGCCGCGUGAGGGAAGACGGCCUUCGGGUUGUAAACCUCUUUUGUACGGGAAGAAGGAAGUGACGGUACUGUACGAAUAAGUCCCGGCUAACUACGUGCCAGCAGCCGCGGUAAUACGUAGGGGACGAGCGUUGUCCGGAAUUACUGGGCGUAAAGGGCGCGCAGGCUGUGCUGCAAGUCAGCUGUGAAAUGUCUGGGCUUAACCCGGGCAUGCGGUUGAGACUGCAGUGCUGGAGUGCUGUAGAGGCAAGUGGAAUUCCCAGUGUAGCGGUGAAAUGCGUAGAUAUUGGGAAGAACACCGGUGGCGAAGGCGACUUGCUGGGCAGCAACUGACGCUGAGGCGCGAAAGCCAGGGGAGCAAACGGGAUUAGAAACCCGGGUAGUCC
rnacentral:rRNA from 1 species